rnacentral:rRNA from 1 species
CCUACGGGGGGCAGCAGUAGGGAAUAUCGCUCACUUGGGGAAACCCUGAAGCCUCCCCUCCUCUUUUCUUCUUCCUUUUUUCUUCUUUUCCCCUCCUUUUUUUAUCGAAGAUAAUGACGGUAUCUCACGAAUAAGCACCGGCUAACUCCGUGCCAGCAGCCGCGGUAAUACGGAGGGUGCAAGCGUUACUCGGAAUCACUGGGCGUAAAGAGUGCGCAGGCGGGCUUGUAAGUCAGAUGUGAAAUCCUGUAGCUUAACUACAGAACUGCAUUUGAAACUAUGAGUCUAGAGUGUGGGAGAGGUAGGUGGAAUUCUUGGUGUAGGGGUAAAAUCCGUAGAUAUCAAGAGGAAUACUCAUUGCGAAGGCGACCUACUGGAACAUUACUGACGCUCAUGCACGAAAGCGUGGGGAGCAAACAGGAUUAGAUACCCGAGUAGUC